GACGAACGCUGGCGGCGUGCUUAACACAUGCAAGUCGAACGGAAAGGCCCUGCUUUUGUGGGGUGCUCGAGUGGCGAACGGGUGAGUAACACGUGAGUAACCUGCCCUUGACUUUGGGAUAACUUCAGGAAACUGGGCUAAUACCGGAUAGGAGCUCCUGCUGCAUGGUGGGGGUUGGAAAGUUUCGGCGGUUGGGGAUGGACUCGCGGCUUAUCAGCUUGUUGGUGGGGUAGUGGCUUACCAAGGCUUUGACGGGUAGCCGGCCUGAGAGGGUGACCGGCCACAUUGGGACUGAGAUACGGCCCAGACUCCUACGGGAGGCAGCAGUGGGGAAUAUUGCACAAUGGGCGGAAGCCUGAUGCAGCAACGCCGCGUGCGGGAUGACGGCUUUCGGGUUGUAAACCGCUUUCGCCUGUGACGAAGCGUGAGUGACGGUAAUGGGUAAAGAAGCACCGGCUAACUACGUG
rnacentral:rRNA from 1 species